UGGAGCUCACUGUAUGACAGGUGCUCGUGGCCUGGAGGGAGCAGGGAGGCUGGGAGCUCCUCUCAGAUUUUCUAUGAAAGCUAUUGCACAGCAUGGACUUUGUCUGCAAAGACCGUGGAGAAGGCACCAUUGAAGGCUUCUGACAUUUGAACUCUGACUUUUCAGAUCUCCUCAGGCCCAGAGCAGCCACCUCUGAGCCCCUACCACUUUUCUAAAUGCAGUCAGGAAGCACGAGACUGAUGUCUCCCAAGGAGCUCUGUACAGUGUUCCAGAUCUUCGCUAACAUAUUGUGACAGAACUGGGUUCCUCAAGAAGCUGUUGCUGGUUGCUGGGGAUUACACUUUUAUACCCAUGGAAGGAGGACCAUUAAAAGAUUAUUGUAGUACAAAAUUGCUGACCAUGCAAAGAGAGGGCAGUGAAUAUGGCUUUAAAAGAGAGGGCUAGCCAAAUGUGGAAGAUGGUCAUUGUUUCCUUGUAUGACUCUGCACCAGCUGAACUCGACGAGGCUGGCUGGAUUCAAGAUAGAUAGAGCUUGAUACAGUUGCUUAUGAACAGGCUUCUAGCGCCACCUGAGAUGGCUUCAGGUGUCUGAAGGACAUCUGAAAUGAGACAGUACUUUCAUGGGCUGACAGCCUUCAAGACCAUCUGCAAAAAGACAGAGGGGGUAUCCAGGAUAUCUCAAAUGGCACUGUCAUGAUCAGACAUAGCAGAUAUCUAUAGUACAGAUUGCUCAAGGCCAGGAUCUUCCCUUUUGCCUCUGUAAGUAGAACAGUGAAACUUGGUGAACAAGAUCGGAUGCAAAGUCAGCCACAAAUGUGAUCCAAGGACUCGGCAGGUGUGUGAGGAAGGUCUGAGAGGGCUGGGUUUGUUCAACAUUGAAAAAAGAAGGCUCAGAAGAGACCUUAUCCCCAUGUUCCACUAUCUAAAUGGUGGCUACAAAGAUGAAGACUCCCUUUUACAAGGAGUCACAUGGAAAAGAUGAGAGGUAAUGGGCCCAAGUUACUCCUGGUGAGAUGCUGAUUGGAAAUGCGGGAAAUU